rnacentral:rRNA from 1 species
GGAUGAACGCUGGCGGCGUGCCUAAUACAUGCAAGUCGAGCGAACGGACGAGAAGCUUGCUUCUCUGAUGUUAGCGGCGGACGGGUGAGUAACACGUGGAUAACCUACCUAUAAGACUGGGAUAACUUCGGGAAACCGGAGCUAAUACCGGAUAAUAUUUUGAACCGCAUGGUUCAAAGGUGAAAGACGGUCUUGCUGUCACUUAUAGAUGGAUCCGCGCUGCAUUAGCUAGUUGGUAAGGUAACGGCUUACCAAGGCAACGAUGCAUAGCCGACCUGAGAGGGUGAUCGGCCACACUGGAACUGAGACACGGUCCAGACUCCUACGGGAGGCAGCAGUAGGGAAUCUUCCGCAAUGGGCGAAAGCCUGACGGAGCAACGCCGCGUGAGUGAUGAAGGUCUUCGGAUCGUAAAACUCUGUUAUUAGGGAAGAACAUAUGUGUAAGUAACUGUGCACAUCUUGACGGUACCUAAUCAGAAAGCCACGGCUAACUACGUG